rnacentral:rRNA from 1 species
AGCUCCAAUAGCGUAUAUUAAAGUUGUUGCAGUUAAAAAGCUCGUAGUUGAACUUCAGGCCUGGCCGGGCGGUCUGCCUAACGGUAUGUACUGUCUGGCCGGGUCUUACCUCUUGGUGAACCGGCGUGCUCUUUACUGGGCGCGUCGGCGAACCAGGACUUUUACCUUGAGAAAAUUAGAGUGUUCAAAGCAGGCUUACGCCCGAAUACAUUAGCAUGGAAUAAUAAAAUAGGACGUGCGGUCCUAUUUUGUUGGUUUCUAGGAUCGCCGUAAUGAUUAAUAGGGAUAGUUGGGGGCAUUGGUAUUGAGUCGCUAGAGGUGAAAUUCUUGGAUUGACUCAAGACCGACUACUGCGAAAGCAUUUGCCAAGGAUGUUUUCA